CCUACGGGUGGCUGCAGUAAGGAAUAUUGGUCAAUGGGGGCAACCCUGAACCAGCCAUGCCGCGUGCAGGAAGACGGCCCUACGGGUUGUAAACUGCUUUUGCACGGGAACAAACCUCCCCCUGCGGGGGGAGCUGAGGGUACCGUGAGAAUAAGGAUCGGCUAACUCCGUGCCAGCAGCCGCGGUAAUACGGAGGAUCCGAGCGUUAUCCGGAUUUAUUGGGUUUAAAGGGAGCGUAGGCGGCCCUCUAAGUCAGGGGUGAAAGACGGCAGCUC
rnacentral:rRNA from 1 species